CUCAGCGGGCUUGGGUCGUCCGGCCGCGGGGUCAGGGAAGACCAGAGGACCACUAGCCCCAGGAAGCUUCCCACCACCAGCAAACUGCGUGGUGAAUUUGUAACCGAAAGGCCCAGGUGAGAUGUGCAAAUAUCACUGGAUUGGAGGAGCUCACUUGGAAAGCCAGUAUUCCUCCUGAGCUAAUGAAAAGAAAGGCUGUCGUCUUAUGCCAAAAGCAAUACCAACCUUGUUCACGGGCUGAGAUCUAGAGUGUGUAAUUCACGAAGUAUGAAUCUGCUGGGUAAUGUGAUAUGAAAAGCGAAUGCACCAUUUCUUGGUGAUGAUUCAGGUCAGCGUUGGGACCCAGGAAUCUCCUGUUAAUCAGUACCCUGGUGAUUUUGAUCCAGUUCCUCUAAAGAAGAGGGUAGAGACUAGAACUGAAUGAGAUGGACAUAGAGAUGGCCAAGAAAAGCAUCGUCCUCUGCCAAGUCAUGGGGUCAUGUGUGGUGGAUGGUGACAUGGUGUCCUCAGCUCAGAGUCCAGCUGGGGGCUCAGAAGCAAGGUAACUGAAGGGAGAGAAUUAUUUGAGCACCUAGUGUGUGUAAGAUGCUUCACAUUUAUUAUUUCACCUAACCUCUACACAACCUGUUGUGGGUAUUACUGGUCUCAAGCUGGGAUUCAAAGCAGGUUUUUCCAACCUCAGAAUUCUUGCCAGACUGAUUAGCCUUCUGCAUCUGGAACAUAAAUGUUUUCAGGCAGCAUAAUGUGCAAGAGGUCAGAGCCUAAAGCUUUGUUAUUUUUUAAUUUCUCCACCAUGUCAACUCUGUUACAGGGAAGCCCAGCAGAGGGAAUUGUAUCCAUUUUGGGGCUACACUACCCCAAUGCUAUGCUGCAGCCAAGCUGAACUUCUAAGUUUCUAAAUGUAACUCACUUACCUUCAGGCCUUUGUACGGGGAGUUCUUUUUGCCUGAAAUACCUUCUGACAUCUUAACAUUACGCUUAGAUGUCAGUUACAAAAAAGCUUUUUCUAGACUCUCUCACAUGUCCCACUCCACACCCCUAUAUCUCUUCCCACCAAUGUACUAGGGUAGGUAUCCUGCUAGGUACUUCCACUGCACCCUCUACUUUUCUUCCCUAAUGAUUACCACUAUAUUGUAAUUGCUUAAUUUCUUUUUCCUAUACCCAGAUAAAAAUGUGUAUGAAGGUGGA
rnacentral:lncRNA from 1 species